UACGGAGGGUGCGAGCGUUGUCCGGAAUCACUGGGCGUAAAGGGCGCGUAGGUGGCGCGGGAAGUCAACGGUGAAAGUUCGGGGCUCAACCCUGAAUCGGCCGUCGAUACUCCCGGGCUCGAACACUGUAGAGGCAGAUGGAAUUCCGGGUGUAGCGGUGGAAUGCGUAUAGAUCCGGAAGAACACCGGUGGCGAAGGCGGUCUGCUGGGCAGUUGCUGACACUGAGGCGCGACAGCGUGGGGAGCAAACAGG
rnacentral:rRNA from 1 species